GACGAACGCUGGCGGCGUGCCUAAUACAUGCAAGUAGAACGCUGAAGAGAGGAGCUUGCUCUUCUUGGAUGAGUUGCGAACGGGUGAGUAACGCGUAGGUAACCUGCCUUGUAGCGGGGGAUAACUAUUGGAAACGAUAGCUAAUACCGCAUAACAAUGGAUGACACAUGUCAUUUAUUUGAAAGGGGCAAUUGCUCCACUACAAGAUGGACCUGCGUUGUAUUAGCUAGUAGGUGAGGUAAUGGCUCACCUAGGCGACGAUACAUAGCCGACCUGAGAGGGUGAUCGGCCACACUGGGACUGAGACACGGCCCAGACUCCUACGGGAGGCAGCAGUAGGGAAUCUUCGGCAAUGGAGGCAACCCUGACCGAGCAACGCCGCGUGAGUGAAGAAGGUGUUCGGAUCGUAAAGCUCUGUUGUAAGUCAAGAACGGGUGUGAGAGUGGAAAGUUCACACUGUGACGGUAGCUUACCAGAAAGGGACGGCUAACUACGUGC
rnacentral:rRNA from 1 species